rnacentral:lncRNA from 1 species
UUUAUUUCCCACCUGUAUACAUUUUUUAAUUGAUUUUCAAAAUUGUGUACCAGUAGCAAGAAUUAUCUUGUGAUUCAGUUUGUCCUUUCCAGCUUUAAUUUAAUUCUUGAGAUUUCCUUGUUUAUGUUGUUUAUCAUGUUUAGGAUUUUUUUCGCCAGAUUAUUUUUUAAGCCAAAGUGCUGGCCAGGAUUUUUUUUUAUUAGUCCAAAUAAUUAAAAAAAAAAAACCCAACCCAAGCCCCCAAGAAAAAAAUACUUUGGUUAGAGGCGUUAAAAAGAACCCAAAAUUUUCGCCUGCUGUCUCAAAAAAAUAUACUUAACAGAAAAGAACACCAAGGCUAACCCCUUGAAGUUAAAUGGUCAGUCCCUAAUCAGAGAAUAAUAAAAUAAAAUACCCUGACCGCCCAAAAUUUUCAGAAAAGACGGAUAAUAUUCUAAGAAUUUCUUAUUAUGGCCUAAUCAAUGGUAACAACAUUUGUUAAUGCUACAUGACCAUUAGAGGAAUAUGUUCCGCAACGAUUACCAGAGAGAGAGGGGGGGGGGAUUAAUCACAAUUUUAUAAAUAAAUUUAGACAG